rnacentral:tRNA from 1 species
GGCUUCCAUGCGCUGGAUCAGGACGCCUAUGUUGCGAUCGUGGGCGGCUAUGCGGCCAAGCUGGGCUUGGCGUUCGAUCCGCUGGAGGCGA